rnacentral:rRNA from 1 species
CAGUCGUACCUUCGGGUAAUCAGCCUUUCGGGUGCGAUUCUGUGGAGCGUGAGGAGUUAAACGCCUUCAUGCCUGCAUAUUCGUGCACUUUGGGUGUACUUGCCCGUGUGGUAGGUUAACAUCAAUUUCGGAUGUCAUAAAAUGGCUGGAGGAAUGUAGCUUCGGUCUCGUACUGAAGUGUUAUAGCCUUUGGUAGAUGUGAUGACCGGGAUUGAGGAUUGCAACGAAUACCUUUUGGGCUACCCGCCUGAUCUCUGAAAGUUGCUCUGGUGCCGAAAGCGUGCUUACGGUUAUCAAAGUUGACGUUCAAAAGGUUAGAACGGGUUAAA